rnacentral:rRNA from 1 species
GUGAGGAAUAUUGGACAAUGGGCGCAAGCCUGAUCCAGCCAUGCCGCGUGCAGGAAGACGCAUCUAUGGUGUGUAAACUGCUUUUGUACGGGAAGAAACACUCCCUCGUGAGGGAGCUUGACGGUACCGUAAGAAUAAGGAUCGGCUAACUCCGUGCCAGCAGCCGCGGUAAUACUGAGGAUCCAAGCGUUAUCCGGAAUCAUUGGGUUUAAAGGGUCCGUAGGCGGUUUAAUAAGUCAGUGGUGAAAGCCCAUCGCUCAACGAUGGAACGGCCAUGGAUACUGUUAGACUUGAAUUACAAGGAAGUAACUAGAAUAUGUAGUGUAGCGGUGAAAUGCGUAGAUAUUACAUGGAAUACCAAUUGCGAAGGCAAGUUACUACUUGUGGAUUGACGCUGAUGGACGAAAGCGUGGGGAGCGAACAGGAUUAGAAACCCCGGUAGUCC